rnacentral:lncRNA from 12 species
AUGCUAGCAAAUAAACAAGCCUCCCCAUUGUCUGUCUCAUAUCUCAAAGCAAUGCCCCUGAAGUUUGGUGGCCUUGGCGGCUUUUAUAGACAGACACUAAUGAGUUUAGAGAAUUAUGGAACUGUGGGUUCCCUGCCAUUACAUGCCAGCCAUAUUAUCUCUCAGAAAGAAUUUCUACAGUCAUCAACAAAAGCAGUUCUGCUACUCAAUGAGUUGCUUCUAUAUGAUGACCAUAUAUGUGGCUUCUGGGUCUGGGAAUUCUUACUAUUAAAACACUGGGGCCAUCUCCCCUUAUCUACUCUUGUAUGUCAAGACUUAGGGGAUUUCUAUUUAGGUCCAAUUAGGGGCAUUUGCAAUGGUUUAAAGAUCAGAAAGCAUUUCAAUAUACUCUUCUGUAUUACCUAGAAUUUUGUUUGAGCAUGUUAAAGGUACAGAGUGGAUAUUCAUCAUCUUAAUUUCUCCAUAUUCUAUGAACCAUCUAUUACUGUUUGGGAAGUUACCCAUUUUCUAAAUCUUGAGACUGCCACCCACAAACAAAGCUAUAUCUCCUGAAAGCUUGGAUGAACACAUGACCUAGGUACCUGCCUAAAAUAUUAAUUCUGGAGGCAGUAACCAAAAAAAAUGCAGGAAAGCAGGGAUGGAGCAUUUUCCUUAUUGUUACUCUUUGUUUUAUCUGAAGAGGUAUUUUCUCUAGAGGAACAGUUGCAAAAGUGUACUGUCAGUGGGAUCAUGAGCUGUGACUUUUCACUCUGGAUCUGCCUUGACAGCUGCUCUUUCUUCCUGCUCCCUGAGUUUGGUUCUUCCAAGUGCCUGGGCUUGCAGAAAUUCCAUGAGCCACUCAAACGAUUUUCUAAACAUUUAAUGCCUGCGUGUAUCCUGCAUUGAUACAUUUUUUUACAUGAAAAUCAGAUCUCAAGGCAGGAAACAACAAAUGUUGGAGACGAUGUGGAGAAAAGGGAACCCUCUUACACUGUUGGUGGGAAUGUGAACUGGUGCAGCCACUCUGGAAAACUGUGUGGAGGUUCCUCAAACAGUUAAAAAUAUACCUGCCCUACGACCCAGCAAUUGCACUGUUGGGGAUUUACCCCAAAGAUACAAAUGCAAUGAAACACCGGGACACCUGCACCCCGAUGUUUAUAGCAGCAAUGGCCACGAUAGCCAAACUGUGGAAGGAGCCUCGGUGUCCAACGAAAGAUGAAUGGAUAAAGAAGAUGUGGUUUAUGUAUACAAUGGAAUAUUCCUCAGCUAUUAGAAAUGACAAAUACCCACCAUUUGCUUCAACGUGGAUGGAACUGGAGGGUAUUAUGCUGAGUGAAGUAAGUCAGUCGGUGAAGGACAAACAUUAUAUGUUUUCAUUCAUUUGGGGAAUAUAAAUAAUAGUGAAAGGGAAUAUAAGGGAAGGGAGAAGAAAUAUGUGGGAAAAAUCAGAAAGGGAGACAGAACGUAAAGACUGCUAACUCUGGGAAACGAACUAGGGGUGGUGGAAGGGGAGAAGGGCAGGGGGUGGGAGUGAAUGGGUGACGGGCACUGGGGGUUAUUCUGUAUGUUAGUAAAUUGAACACCAAUAAAAAAUAAAUUAAAAAAAAAAGAAAAUCA